rnacentral:lncRNA from 1 species
AAGGAUCUUUUAUAUAAUUUUCUAUCGUAGAUAAGGUAUUGCAGUGCUAGAUGUCUCAACCUCUUGUCUUCAUCUCGAUCGACAGAUAAUAUCCUAUCUUGCAGGUAACGUAAGAUCGGAUCUAUCCAGCUCGACUCAAGAUCAGUUUGUAUCAUAGAAGGCCCUUCAAUACUCAGCUUCUCGAGGGUUUCAAGAUACGAGCUUCUUUUCAAAUUUGCUACACCAAGUGUCGCGAGCUUUGAUAAGAGGUCAACUUGUAUAUUUUCUAAUCUCGAUAUUUGUUGGAUGCUCAUGGAGGU